rnacentral:sRNA from 10 species
CAAAAGUCCCUGAACUCUCAAGCGAAUCCGUAAAUAAAUAUUCUGCCCAAGCGGAGAAGGAUGAGAAGCUUCGACUAAGGUUCGACUCGAGCGCCAGCGAGAGAGCGUUGCCGCAGGCAACGACCUGAAGGGCGAAGCGCGCAGCGCUGAGUAAUCCUUCCCCCACCACCA